UACGUAGGGGGCAAGCGUUGUUCGGAUUCAUUGGGCGUAAAGGGUGCGUAGGCGGCGUGGUAAGUCGGGUGUGAAAUCUCGGAGCUUAACUCCGAAACUGCAUUCGAUACUGCCGUGCUUGAGGACUGGAGAGGAGACUGGAAUUUACGGUGUAGCGGUGAAAUGCGUAGAUAUCGUAAGGAAGACCAGUGGCGAAGGCGGGUCUCUGGACAGUUCCUGACGCUGAGGCACGAAGGCCAGGGGAGCAAACGGG
rnacentral:rRNA from 1 species